CCUACGGGAGGCAGCAGUAAGGAAUAUUGGUCAAUGGACGAAAGUCUGAACCAGCCAUGCCGCGUGAAGGAUGAAGGUCCUCUGGAUUGUAAACUUCUUUUAUCUGGGACGAAAAAAGGGCAUUCUUGCUCACUUGACGGUACCAGAGGAAUAAGCACCGGCUAACUCCGUGCCAGCAGCCGCGGUAAUACGGAGGGUGCAAGCGUUAUCCGGAUUCACUGGGUUUAAAGGGUGCGUAGGUGGGUUGGUAAGUCAGUGGUGAAAUCUCCGAGCUUAACUCGGAAACUGCCAUUGAUACUAUCAGUCUUGAAUUUUCUGGAGGUAAGCGGAAUAUGUCAUGUAGCGGUGAAAUGCUUAGAUAUGACAUAGAACACCCAUUGCGAAGGCAGCUUACUACGGGAUAAUUGACACUGAGGCACGAAAGCGUGGGGAUCAAACAGGAUUAGAUACCCUGGUAGUCCACGCCCUAAACGAUGGAUACUCGACAUCAGCGAUACACUGUUGGUGUCUGAGCGAAAGCAUUAAGUAUCCCACCUGGGAAGUACGACCGCAAGGUUGAAACUCAAAGGAAUUGACGGCUGAGACGAGCGACGACGACGACGAGGGAGGAGG
rnacentral:rRNA from 1 species